rfam:Brachypodium distachyon strain Bd21 chromosome 2, whole genome shotgun sequence.
CAAAUACUCCCUCCGUCCCAUAUUAAGUGACAAAGUUUUACAUGUAUCUAGACAUAUUGUAGCAUAUAGAUACGUCCAUAUUUAAACAAAUUUGAGUCACUUAAUAUGGGACAGAGGGAGUAUAUG